rnacentral:antisense_RNA from 1 species
UGAGAAAUUCAUAGAACUACCUGGCAGAAAAGGAAGGGUGAUAUUGCCUCCCAGGGAACAUUUGGCAACGUCUGAAGACAUUUUUCACUGUCACAACCGAGGGGGUAUGCUAUUGGCAUCCAGUAGGUAGAGGUCAAGGAUGCUGAUAAGCAUCUACAAUGUCCCAGACAGUCCCCACAACAAAAAAUUAUCUGGCCCCAAAUAUCAAUAGUGCCAAGGUUGGGAAACCCUGCUUCAUACCUAUUCACAAUCCAUGGAACAUUUUAUGUACCGCUGUCUUAGUCCCUAAUCAGAAAUUCUCAGGUAAAAUGCUCACUAGAAUUAAUCCUACUUCCAGAAGAGUUCCCAAAAGAGAAACUCAUAUACUCAACUCUGACGCUCAAGUCUGACCAAUUCCUAGGUACUGCUGACCUAUUCAUAUAUUCAAAUUCUAUCACUGAUAUGGGAAGCUCUGUUUGAAACAUAAACUUAAAAAGGAGUCUCUAUAUAUGAACUAUCAGUGCUAUCAGACAAUGCUAACAUUAUGAACAUGAUGAGGAUAUAACCCUUGUUUUCUUGGAAAUGCCCACCCACAUUUAUGCUGUUCUUUUAAAGUUUAUUACUCUUGUCAAAGUUGCCAUGCAGAAUGUCUAUUGAUCAGCUGGGCACAUCUGCACACAUUUACAAUAUCUGCCACCUCUUUUAACCCUCAACCCCGCCCCACAAAAUGAGUGAUGGUGCUUGUUGAUUUGCAGAUUCACGGUCUGGUGAGACAAGUUUGAGAUCUCAUAUUUUCAGCUCACCCUUGAAAACCUUUCUUGGAUUUGACUGACCUUGAUGGCUCCCUGGAAUUUCACCUACAUUUUAUGGGAACUUCAACUCUCCAGAGAGAAGAGCUUUCAGAUAGCUACAGGACUUGCAACUAUGACUUUUAGCUUUCACUUUUGAAUGAGGCUCCAAAUGUCUCAAUGGUGGCGCUAUUUCCAGAUUUGGGAGCCCUGCAAAGCUAAUCUGCUCAACCUUCACCUACUGGGUUCAAUGAAUAUGAAAAGCUGCCUUCCUGAAACUCUUCCUUCAAAGAGGAAAUGAUCUCCUGGAAUUCAAGCUUCUACAAGGUGGCUACCUGGUGUUUUCCACUUUUGCCUUCUCCUAAAAAGCAUCAAUCAAGCCUUGCCCUUUCAACCCACUGAACACAUAAACAUGCUUUCUCCUUAACUGAACUUAUGGUCAUGAUGAACUUGAACUCUGAGAUGCACAGAGGAGAGUUUGUUUUAACAGCUGCUUUUACAAUGAAGCCCUGGAGUUACUACUCUCAAGACCCCUGGUUCUGAUAGGCCGUCUUUUCACUGUCCUCUGCAUUUUCUAAUGCCCAGCUGUCAAGGAACACCCACUGAAGUUUUCCAAAAUAAAGGCACAAAACACAAGAAAGGCAAGAGAAUGCUAAUCACUGGAUGCAUGGGCAUCCUAUGUGGGGACCCCUUACAUGUGGAAUAGGGUUUUUCUCCCCAAUUUAUUUUUAUAAAUUUAUUGAUUUCUUUGCUAGUUUAUUAUUAAUUGUUAGAGAUGUCCUGUUGCCUGAGGUUGCCCUGUCCAAUACGGUAGCCACCAGCGACAGGUAGCUAUUUAGAGUA